GGCGCUGGCUGAAGAGAAGGGGAAGAGGGGCAGGUCGCCCAGCCCCGCCUCGAUCGCCAUCACCACCUCCAGGGACAGAUGGAGAUCUGCAUCACUGACAUCAGGAAAGGCUGAGCUGGCUCUGAGGGGAGGUCCUGUGAAGAUAAGAUGUGAAGAAUGGAACAAGGUUGUACAACUGAAACUUUGAAGGACAGCACAGCCAAAAAUAUAAAUCCAGACAGACUGAUCCUGUCAGAGGAUGCUCAAGGAGGGAGUGGGGAAAACAUGCAGUCAACCAGUUUGUCUCUGUGGUCCCUUUUGGAUAGAAGAGCAGCAGGGGACCUUGUAACGUUGACAGGAAGUGGCACAGAGCCCACCACCCCCUCUGGCUUUGCUUGUCUCCUCUCUAAAACUAAUGCUACCACAGGAAGACCUCCAGACAUUCCAAGUACCUAUAAACUAAAAAAAAAAAAAGGAAAAAAAAGAAUGUCACUAGUACUCAGUCACAGCUUCUUUCUACCACUGGGACUGACUAAAGGUGCCUAAAGGAGACACAAAUACACUCUGUGAGUCCUGUUUCCACUGCCAGGAUGAGGGAGGAGGGGUUCAGCUGCACAUGACAGCACUGUUCUCUCUGUCAGUGUGAGUGAUCCAGUCGACUGUUUUUAUUGCUCCCUGUCUGAGGUGGCAGUGCAUAUUUUUCUAAACAAGGAGCUGCAAAAUCCUUAUGAGAUCCCCACUUGCUGCAUAUUUUGUUCAUGCCAUGUGUUUUGAGUUUGACACUUAGUCAUGUUUUCCUCCUUGCCAGUCCUUUUUAAUACUCCCUGCUGUUCUCAUCUUGGAGAUACAUUAAUCCUGGGCAGAAGGACAACUGGCAGAGAAGCUCUGCAGUGACCUGGUUGGUUUCUAAGCAUCUGGCUUAGUACCUUGAUCCUCUACCUGAAGUUUCUUCCACUGCCUGUAGUUGUUUGUAUUUUUGAAUCUAUUCCAUUCUGUCAUAUCUUCUGCCUUGUUUAUUCAUAUGGCAGUGAUGGAAACAAUUCCAGUAGAUACGAUUGGUCACAGCACUGUUUACAGCAUCAUGAUGGGUGGCAGAGAAGAUCCUGCUCUUAGGCAAAUGGUGCUCUGGGAAUCCAGGAGUUGCUUGGAUGUGAAGGCUCUCUCUUGGGUCUUGAACUCUUGUGGAACCAACUGUACAUGAAAGAGCUGUCUGGCUACUCCAGACCUGAAGGUACAGCAAAGAUCUGCCCAGAGCCCUGCCAAAAAAGCACCAGCAUUAUGCCAGAAAGGUGCUAUCCCAAUAUCCACAGCGAGCUGUUGAAGAAGAAAAGUCAUCCCCACUGCUCAUUCCAUAAGCUGGCAUGCCCUGACCCAGAGGAUGGAACUGGUUCCUGGAAUGCUGUGCUCAUGUGAUUGUGUGUCUUUGCUGUGAAUAUGAUUUUUUAUCUGCAUUUUUUCAACAGGCAGGCUCACAGAAAAAAGAUUGCUUCCCCAAUUUUUGUUCCAGUAGGAGAUCCCCUAUCACGGACCUGCUCAAGACAUCCCUCAUGAAAACAGGAUGCCUUACCAUGGACUUUUGUAGGACCAGGCUGGAUUUAAUGCAACUUUCCCUGUUUGUAUUUGCUUCUUUAUUCCAAGAUGACAGUUUUAGUGCUUCUGAAAAUUCAGGGAGGUGGGAAGAGAAAAAAGAAAAAAAAUCUGCUUGAAGUCAGCAUAAAAAUUGUUACCAGCAUCAAUGUCAUUUGAGUAGUGAGGUCAGACAAACACCUCAUGGAGUAAACACAGAGUUUUGAAAAUAAUAUCAAUACUGCUUUGCUGGCAUCAUGGUGCCUCUGCAUUAUAUAUCCCCCGCCCCGAAUUCUGCAGCAAAUAUAAAAUUAUUACAGGCUGUGUGCAACCCUUGCACUGCUUUGGUUGUCUUCAAAAGGCCACUUGGUGUAAACACUCAAUAAAGAUGA